ACAGCAAUGGGAUGCAAGUUACUUUACUCAAAAACCGCACAUUUGUCUUCCUUUACAUGUAUGUAUAGGGUGUGCAUCCUAUUUUACCAACUAUGCAUUGAAGGACAUCUCCUUUAAGGACACGAUGACAGGAGAAUGACAAAAAGAGAAUGACAGAGCCACAUAAGAUACUGCGAGUACAGUUGAGGUUAAAGAGGGGAGUUUCCACCCUUUAGUUAUCGCGCAAAAGGACCAGUAUAAGAUCAUACAAAAGCUACAAGGUGACCGCAGAUGUUCUUUAAUACCUUUCUUUUUCAGAUUUCGUGGACAGAUCAUAAUCACUAACCAUAACAUAUGUAGCAAACAUGGAGAGAAAAAAAAAACUAAAUGGGAAAUAGCCAUCCGUUCCGCACAUUGACAAUGUAUCAACAGCUUCUGUGUACAAAGCCAGUAGAGUACAGUAGAGUUUAUUACAAGGCAAUAUAAAGACCCAGGAAACAAGGAAAGAAUUAUUGCAAAAAUGGAAAUAUCAAAGCCCUGCAGCCAAAGUCUAACAGCUGAUCUCUGAAGAGAACAUUCCUUUCAUAACAGAUGCCAACGCCUAUGUUACAA